UUCCACAGCGAUGGACCAAUCAGGUACCCACCUCGUUAUCCAGAUGUAACCUCUCUUAAUUUUUUGUGGGAUUUUGUAAAAGACAGGUUUUAUGCCACCCCGAUAAGCGAUGUUGCUGAACUCCGCAGAAAAAUUACGAAUGUCAUCUGUACCAUCACAUCUGAUAUGCUGAAUAGCACAUGGGCUGAAAUCGAGUAUCGCUUAGAUAUCCUGAGCGCUACUAAUGGAGCUUAUGUGGAAGUGUGCUUAGUAAAACUUUUUGAGUUACUCUACAGAACGCCGAAAACCACGUGGUCCCAUCAGUCGGAGAUCCCUCCCAAAUUAAUGUGUUAAUGGGAAAGAAUUCAUAUGAACACUUUACUUCGAUAUCACGCACUACAACGUUAUUAAUAAAAAUUAUGACUUACAAACAUUCCUGUUAUGAAUGAAGAAUGACUGAGUGGAUUUUCAUGAAAUCUGUUAUGGGUAUUAAGCCGCUUACGACUUAAAAAUCGUAGUUAUUAAUUUCCUGUAUUUGGCAAUGCCAAUAUGACGGAUGUGGAUGUCUCUAAGUGAGACGACGAUGCUGUUACACAGAAUCGUCUGAGUGACUACGUCAUGGCCACUAACGAUGUCAUUGGCCUUGACGUAAUUUUCGGAUGACGUCCGAAGUGCAUAGAAUAUUGUGCAAGGAUUUGAAUUUGCUUGUAUUCCAACGAAACACCAUUUCAGUCUUGUUAGAUUUGGUUGUGAGUGCAGCACGAACUUAUAUUCUCAGUACCUAAGAGGGCCACAUGGCAUCUUUCGUCAGCGAGGUGAAUAUUUGACAGGCUUGGUUGUGCUUACCAAUACUCGACACACACUUAAUUCAACCAGAAUAGGCAUAGGACAACGAAAUGGACUUCUUCAAACGUAGAAACACACUGAAAUUUUAUACAUAUUAACUAUGGUGUUUUUGAAGAAUGAUCUGAAACAAGGAGAUGCAUCAGCCAGUAUAGUGAUUAGCUAAGGAAUGGACGACAGGGGUUCGACCCCCGACGGGCGCAGAGGAUAUUUCCUCUAGCCUCUGCGACCAGACUAGCUCUGGGGCGCACCCAGUUUCCUAAUCAAUGGGUAACGGGGUCUUUCCCGGGGGUAAAGCGCGACCAGGGCGCGAUGCUGACCUCCAUCUAGUGCCGAAGUCAAGAAUUAGUAGGAGCUAUACCUCCACUCCCCCCAAGCGCCUACAUGGCGUAUAGUGGGACAGCUUUACUUUACCUUCUCAUCAUGUAGUUGUUGGUUUAUGUUGGUUAGUAAAAUUGGAGAAAACAACGAUAUAAAAAAUGAGGAGUUUCGUCUAGAGCUAAACACAAUAUUAUAAUACAUCCAUGCCGUGUGAUCAUAAUGCAGGAAAAAAUCACAAUUUAAAGAAAGUAAAUAAAUUCCUCGAAAAUGUGGAACAUUGAAGUAUUUUUGAACUACAGUAACAAAACAAAUUUGCAUUAACAAAAGUCAAACUUGGACUGAAUGUUGGGAAUACUUGCUGCAAUUCUGAUCAGAAACUUUUCUCAUCCCCUCUGCUAUCCAAAAACGCAAAGAUUAAAAUACAAGCUAUAACUUCACCUUAGGGCCUACUUGGCAUGAGCGUGAAGUUUGGUGUCAAAAUGGUGAGAUUUCAGGUUCUUCCUUGUCCGACUGGUUCUCAUAUCUCAUAAAAUCCUCGCGCACGGCUAACUCAUCGCCCUGAUGAUGGAGCCAGCAACACCUAUGAAACGUCGGUAAAUAUUUACUAGCCUACAAGGCGCAAUGCCAUAGAAGACAGUCAUAUUGAGUAUGAAAAUGCAUCUUGAAGAAAAAGGGCUGACUGACUCAGGACAAGCUCUAAUGAACACGGUAAUGAAUCUUGAGGUUCGAUAAAGGUGGGGAAUGUCUCGACUAGAUGAACUGCUCCAGAUUGCGGUCUUCUGGGCUGUUGCGCUGUGUGUUCAACAAAAUUUCCUCGGAACAUGCUGUCACCAUCUUCAAGGUUGAAAUGACUACUAGUUUUCAAGGACUUUGUUCCCUGGAGUUGGUUUGUUUCUUUCCAGAUUCACAUGCUGAAACAAUUUUUGAAAACGACUCUUCUUUUCACUUGGUUCCAGACUAAUGACGAAAUUUGAGCCUGUGACUCACUCCCCCAGUCUUGAUUGCAACAGCAGUUGAUACAGGUGCUUUUUAGCAUGAUCUCUCUCUCUCUCUCUCUACAAAGGCAAGACAAGCCUCAGUGACUGUGUGGAAGGCAGAAGACAAGGGUCUCAAAUUUGUCCUUGAAAGGACGGCGGUAAAUAAUAUAUACUACCGGCCGUAAUGGCCUAGCGUGAAUUGGUUCCAGUUGCAAACCAGAUUAAAUAGCAAUAAUUUAAAUAAUUACGUUUAAACGACGAUAUAUGGUUUCGGCCAAAGUUGUACCUUGAACUCCAGCCGCGAAAACCUAUGGACAAGAAUUAAAUGUGUUCCUGCAAUAUCCAGCUCCAUGUAACACAUGGUUCUUGAGAAGCUAAUAAUCACCAUAACAACAACAACAACAAUCGUUGUCGUCGUAUGUUAAUAAAAAUAAUAAUGCUAAUAGUAACAGUAUGUUCGGCGACGCAGGAAAAUGUUCACCUUUUCUGGAAACCGAAGGUACAUUACCGUGUGCAUAAGAGCCACUCACCCGAGCCAGAUGAAUCUAAUCUACACCUCACAACUUAUUUCUUUAAGAGUCUGGUUGACAUUAUGAUGAUGCCUAAAACAGACUUCAAUCAAAGCAUUGAGCAAACUGUAUGAAAAAUUAAAAAUAGAAGUCAGACAAACUGUGAGGCACUGUGUUAGACACAAGAAGGAAUAAUGACUGGUGCGUGACGUCACUUGAUGCACAGACAGCAUCAAAGAUAGAAGAGUUGUUCCUUCAGCACAUCACAGAAACCAAAAUGAGACCAUCUGUGUUGAUGAUUAAAAAAUGCCACACAUUAUCAUCCUCCACAACUGUGCCUAGACAGGAAGAUCUUGUAGAUGCGGCUUCCUACAAAAUGUCUCCAUUAUGCAAAGAAAGUCUUGUUCCACAAUACCAAGACCAAAUAUUACAUCUAAAUACACCAGAAUUUUUGUCUAAUGUCUGUAUAGUAGAAGUGGAGGGGAAUCCACUAUAUUCUGGCUAAUGCCAAACAAGGUGGACAUCUACCAGACUACAGCAAUCUUCAAGGUUUAUGGCACACCGUAAAAUUUUGUGUCAAAGUGGCACAGUAGAUGAAGAAGAAGCAAUGAUAAUUUUUGUCUGUAGAAGAAACCUACAUUGAAAUUAUGCAUUCUUUAAUGUUACAAAACACAAAUUCAGUGAUCUUGACAAGCUCUUUCAUUAAAGGUUUGUACAUUGUCUUGAAGAGAACAAAUGGUAAGAGAAAUUGUAUUGAAGUUGUAGGACUUCCAAGCAGUCAGAGGCCUCCACCCUUAAUCAGUCGGACCCAUGGUUCAAACCUCGGUUGUGGCAGGCAAUGAGAAAUAUCAAGCUGCUGUUGCACAACGUACUGUCCCCAGAGUACAAUGCAUUGUCCACCCUAUCCGUGACCAAGCAGUGAGAAGAUGUAAAACACUAGAAUAAAAAUCUGAAAUGUCACACCUGGGUAAUGGUUUAACAUGAAAUGUGGAGUUGGUUCACACAUCGAGCAUGAUAAGGAGACAUACUCCACAGGAAGAUUCUAUGCUGUAAUAAAACCCUUAUCCAAUGGCA